rnacentral:rRNA from 1 species
GACGAACGCUGGCGGCGUGCUUAACACAUGCAAGUCGAACGCUGAAGCUCAGCUUUUGUUGGGUGGAUGAGUGGCGAACGGGUGAGUAACACGUGAGUAACCUGCCCUCUUCUUUGGGAUAACGCCCGGAAACGGGUGCUAAUACUGGAUAUUCACUGAUCUUCGCAUGGGGGUUGGUGGAAAGGUUUGUUCUGGUGGGGGAUGGGCUCGCGGCCUAUCAGCUUGUUGGUGGGGUGAUGGCCUACCAAGGCUUUGACGGGUAGCCGGCCUGAGAGGGUGACCGGUCACAUUGGGACUGAGAUACGGCCCAGACUCCUACGGGAGGCAGCAGUGGGGAAUAUUGCACAAUGGGCGAAAGCCUGAUGCAGCGACGCCGCGUGAGGGAUGGAGGCCUUCGGGUUGUAAACCUCUUUCGCUCAUGGUCAAGCCGCGACUUUGGUUGUGGUGAGGGUAGUGGGUAAAGAAGCGCCGGCUAACUACGUGCCAGCAGCCGCGGUAAUACGUAGGGCGCGAGCGUUGUCCGGAAUUAUUGGGCGUAAAGGGCUUGUAGGCGGUUGGUCGCGUCUGCCGUGAAAUUCUCUGGCUUUAACUGGGGGGCGUGCGGUGGGUACGGGCUGACUUGAGUGCGGUAUGUGGAGACUGGGAACUCCCUGGUGUAGCGGUGGAAUGCGCAGAUAUCAUGAAGAAACACCGGUGGCGAAGGCGGUUCUCUGGGCCUUUACUGACGCUUUAUGAUUCGAAAAGCGUGGAGAUUUA